rnacentral:rRNA from 48 species
GGGUUGUGAGGUUAAGCGACUAAGCGUACACGGUGGAUGCCCUGGCAGUCAGAGGCGAUGAAGGGCGUGCUAAUCUGCGAUAAGCGCCGGUAAGGUGAUAUGAACCGUUAUAACCGGCGAUACCCGAAUGGGGAAACCCAGUGUGACUCGUCACACUAUCAUUAACUGAAUCCAUAGGUUAAUGAGGCGAACCGGGGGAACUGAAACAUCUAAGUACCCCGAGGAAAAGAAAUCAACCGAGAUUCCCCCAGUAGCGGCGAGCGAACGGGGAGGAGCCCAGAGCCUGAAUCAGCAUGUGUGUUAGUGGAAGCGUCUGGAAAGGCGCGCGAUACAGGGUGACAGCCCCGUACACAAAAGCGCAUGUGCUGUGAGCUCGAUGAGUAGGGCGGGACACGUGGUAUCCUGUCUGAAUAUGGGGGGACCAUCCUCCAAGGCUAAAUACUCCUGACUGACCGAUAGUGAACCAGUACCGUGAGGGAAAGGCGAAAAGAACCCCGGCGAGGGGAGUGAAAAAGAACCUGAAACCGUGUACGUACAAGCAGUGGGAGC